rnacentral:lncRNA from 1 species
CCGCCGGAGCUCCCUACCAGGGGGACCGCCGCCCCCUGGCCUAGGCCGCGCCCCUCCCCUGGCCGAGCAGGCCAGCGCGCCGCCCCCUGUGCGCCUCCACUCCAUUGCCAGUCUCUCCUCUUCCUGAAGAAGAGGAUAAGAAAGAGAGGGAGAGAAAAAAAAGGAAAAAAAUGGAUAGGUUUAGGGUUUCCCUCUCUAUUUAUAUGAGUUAUGGGAAGAUCUAAGCCGUCCACUAUGAUAAACGGCCAUAAUUGACUAGGCCUAUCAGUCCAGCCCAUAAAGAGCGAAUUUGGCCCA